rnacentral:rRNA from 1 species
AACGAACGCUGGCGGCGCGUCUUAAGCAUGCAAGUCGGGCGGGAUCCAUAUGCUUGCAUAUGGUGAGAGCGGCGGACUGGCGAGUAACACGUGGGCGACGCGCCCUCCGGACGGGAAUAGCCUGUAGAAAUACAGGGUAAUGCCGGAUGCGAACGCACGGGCUGGAGCCGUGCGUGGAAAGCCCCCACGGGGGCGCCGGAGGAGCGGCCCGCGGCCCAUCAGCUUGUAGGCGGUGCAAGGGACCACCUAGGCUACGACGGGUACCCGGCCUCAGAGGGCGGACGGGCGCAUUGGGACUGAGAUACGGCCCAGACUCCUACGGGAGGCAGCAGCUAAGAAUAUUCCGCAAUGGGGGGAACCCUGACGGAGCGACGCCGCGUGGGCGAGGAAGGCCGGAAGGUUGUAAAGCCCUUUUGCGCGCGAGGAAUAAGGGGAGGAGGGAAUGCCUUCCCGGUGACUGUAGCGCGCGAAUAAGCGCCGGCUAAUUACGUGCCAGCAGCCGCGGUAACACGUAAGGCGCGAGCGUUGUUCGGAAUCAUUGGGCGUAAAGGGCGUGUAGGCGGCCCUGCAAGCCUGGCGUGAAAUCCCGGGGCUCAACCCCGGAACCGCGCUGGGAACUGCGGGGCUUGAGCCGCUGUGGCGCAGCCGGAAUUCCAGGUGUAGGGGUGAAAUCUGUAGAUAUCUGGAAGAACACCGAUGGCGAAGGCAGGCUGCGAGCGGACGGCUGACGCUGAGGCGCGAAGGCGCGGGGAGCGAACAGG